rnacentral:rRNA from 1 species
GAUGAACGCUGGCGGCGCGCCUAACACAUGCAAGUCGAACGGGAACACCCGUAGCAAUAUGAGUGUUUUAGUGGCGGACGGGUGAGUAACGCGUGAGGAACCUGCCUUUCGGAGGGGAAUAACACAUCGAAAGAUGUGCUAAUACCGCAUAAUGUCAUCGGGCGGCAUCGCCUGAUGACCAAAAGAGCAAUCUGCCGAAAGAUGGCCUCGCGUCCGAUUAGAUAGUUGGUGAGGUAACGGCCCACCAAGUCUGCGAUCGGUAGCCGGACUGAGAGGUUGAACGGCCACAUUGGGACUGAGACACGGCCCAGACUCCUACGGGAGGCAGCAGUGGGGGAUAUUAGUCAAUGGAGGAAACUCUGAACUAGCGACGCCGCGUGAGGGAAGAAGGUCUUCGGAUUGUAAACCUCUGUCUUCGGGGACGAUAAUGACGGUACCCGAGGAGGAAGCUCCGGCUAACUACGUG